GUCCACGCUGUAAACGAUGGAUGCUAGCCGUUGGUGGGUUUACCCUUCAGUGGCGCAGCUAACGCAUUAAGCAUCCCGCCUGGGGAGUACGGUCGCAAGAUUAAAACUCAAAGGAAUUGACGGGGGCCCGCACAAGCGGUGGAGCAUGUGGUUCAAUUCGAAGCAACGCGCAGAACCUUACCAGCCCUUGACAUGUCCCGUAUGGGUUUCAGAGAUGAGACCCUUCAGUUCGGCUGGCGGGAACACAGGUGCUGCAUGGCUGUCGU
rnacentral:rRNA from 1 species